GAUGAACGCUGGCGGCGUGCUUAACACAUGCAAGUCGAACGGUGAAGCAGAGCUUGCUCUGUGGAUCAGUGGCGAACGGGUGAGUAACACGUGAGCAACCUGCCCCUGACUCUGGGAUAAGCGCUGGAAACGGCGUCUAAUACUGGAUAUGAGCUGCGACCGCAUGGUCAGCAGUUGGAAAGAUUUUUCGGUCUGGGAUGGGCUCACGGCCUAUCAGCUUAUUGGUGAGGUAAUGGCUCACCAAGGCGUCGACGGGUAGCCGGCCUGAGAGGGUGACCGGCCACACUGGGACUGAGACACGGCCCAGACUCCUACGGGAGGCAGCAGUGGGGAAUAUUGCACAAUGGGCGAAAGCCUGAUGCAGCAACGCCGCGUGAGGGAUGACGGCCUUCGGGUUGUAAACCUCUUUUAGCAGGGAAGAAGCGAAAGUGACGGUACCUGCAGAAAAAGCGCCGGCUAACUACGUG
rnacentral:rRNA from 1 species